rnacentral:rRNA from 1 species
AUUGAACGCUGGCGGCAUGCCUUACACAUGCAAGUCGAACGGUAACGGGCCUUCGGGUGCCGACGAGUGGCGAACGGGUGAGUAAUGUAUCGGAACGUACCUUUCAGUGGGGGAUAACGUAGCGAAAGUUACGCUAAUACCGCAUAUUCUGUGCGCAGGAAAGCAGGGGAUCGCAAGACCUUGCGCUGAUUGAGCGGCCGAUAUCAGAUUAGCUAGUUGGUGAGGUAAAGGCUCACCAAGGCGACGAUCUGUAGCGGGUCUGAGAGGAUGAUCCGCCACACUGGAACGGGGACACGGUCCAGACUCCUACGGGAGGCAGCAGUGGGGAAUUUUGGACAAUGGGGGCAACCCUGAUCCAGCCAUGCCGCGUGAGUGAAGAAGGCCUUCGGGUUGAAAAGCUCUUUCGGCCGGGAAGAAAUCGCACGGGCUAAUACCCUGUGUGGAUGACGGUACCGGAAUAAGAAGCACCGGCUAACUACGUGCCAGCCGCCGCGGAAAGAC